GACAGAGGGUGCGAACGUUGUUCGGAAUUACUGGGCGUAAAGCGCAUGUAGGCGGCAGCGCAAGUCGGGCGUGAAAUCCCACGGCUCAACCGUGGAAGUGCACUCGAAACUGCAUAGCUAGAGUCCUGGAGAGGAAGGUGGAAUGCUUGGUGUAGAGGUGAAAUUCGUAGAUAUCAAGCGGAACACCGGUGGCGAAGGCGGCCUUCUGGACAGUGACUGACGCUGAGACGCGAAAGCGUGGGGAGCAAACAGG
rnacentral:rRNA from 1 species